GACGAACGCUGGCGGCGUGCCUAAUACAUGCUAGUAGAACGCAGUUGCGAACGGGUGAGUAACGCGUAGGUAACUGCCGCAUAGCGGGGGGUAAAUAAUGGCAACGAUAGGUAACACCGCCUACUGGGGGAUGGAACUGCGUUGUAUUAGCUAGUGGGUGAGGUAAAGGCUCACCAAGGCGACGCUUCAUAGCCGACCUGGGAGGGGGAGCGGCCCCACGGGGACGGAGACACGGCCCAGACGCAUACGGGCGGAAGCAGUAGGGAAGCUUCGGCAAUGGACGGAAGUCUGGCCGAGCAACGCCGCGUGAGUGGAGAAGGUUGUCGGAUCGUAAAGCGCUGUUGGUAAGGAAGCGGUAACUAACCAGAAAGGGACGGCGAACUUCGUGCCAGCAGCCGCGGUAAUAC
rnacentral:rRNA from 1 species